rnacentral:rRNA from 1 species
GACGAACGCUGGCGGCGUGCUUAACACAUGCAAGUCGAACGGAAAGGCCCUGCUUUUGUGGGGUGCUCGAGUGGCGAACGGGUGAGUAACACGUGAGUAACCUGCCCUUGACUUUGGGAUAACUUCAGGAAACUGGGGCUAAUACCGGAUAGGAGCUCCUGCUGCAUGGUGGGGGUUGGAAAGUUUCGGCGGUUGGGGAUGGACUCGCGGCUUAUCAGCUUGUUGGUGGGGUAGUGGCUUACCAAGGCUUUGACGGGUAGCCGGCCUGAGAGGGUGACCGGCCACAUUGGGACUGGGAUACGGCCCAGACUCCUACGGGAGGCAGCAGUGGGGAAUAUUGCACGAUGGGCGGAAGCCUGAUGCAGCAACGCCGCGUGCGGGAUGACGGCCAUCGGGUUGUAAACCGCUUUCGCCUGUGACGAAGCGUGAGUGACGGUAAUGGGUAAAGAAGCACCGGCUAACUACGUG